GCACGGCCACUGCGCCUCCUUCGUUAUCACUUCCACUUCUACGCCGUCGUCAUCUCUUCGCUUUUGCCAUUGGAGUGAUUUCUCAGAGUCGAAAUACAAGAUUUUGGUUGUGGCGGUGUUCGGACCAUGCAACGCGAUCAAGUAAGUAGCUGAUUACUUCUCAUGGUUUUUCUUUCGAGAAUGCAAACAGAUCUAGGCAGCAAUUGAUGAUGUGCCUGAGCAGAUUGUCAUGCCUUUUGAGAUUGCUGAUGUCUAUAUUGCGUUGAGAUAAUCUCAAGAUCUCCCUUGCUGAUGGCAAUCUUUUACCAAUGUGCCUGUAGCUAAUUUGUUUCUUUUCACUCAUGAUUGAAUUUUUAUAUGCGACUGAAUUAGCUGAAGUGCUUUUGUUACAUCUUUUUCAUUGUUGGUAUGUUAAGUAACACUAGAUGAAGUAUUAUUGUAUCCAUAUUUUAGUGCUAUUUUUUUGUUAAGAACUAUAUUGUUUAAUUGUGUUAUUGUUGUGCUUAAA